UACGUAGGGUGCGAGCGUUAUUCGGAAUUACUGGGCGUAAAGCGUGCGCAGGCGGUUUUGUAAGCCCGAUGUGAAAGCCCCGGGCUUAACCUGGGAAUGGCAUUUGGGACUGCAAGGCUUGAGUGCGGCAGAGGAGACUGGAAUUCCUGGUGUAGCAGUGAAAUGCGUAGAUAUCAGGAGGAACACCGGUGGCGAAGGCGGGUCUCUGGGCCGAUACUGACGCUGAGGAGCGAAAGCGUGGGGAGCGAACAGG
rnacentral:rRNA from 1 species